UCAUUGAGAAAACAAUAUUGUUAUAAAACAUGAAAGAGAAAACUAUUAUUUUUUCCAUUACAAUGCUUCUUUGCCUUACAUCAGUCGUAUCUACAUCAGGAGUAGGAGUAGCCUCCUUCUAUGCUGGACCAUACAUACCAUCUGCUUGCGGGCACAGCGAAAAUAUAACUAAAAUUAUCUCAGUUAGUGAUGCAUUAUGGGAUAACCGAAAUGCUUGCGGGCGUAAUUAUUUAGUGCGGUGUAAGUCUGUAACAAGUGAAGGCAUAUUUCAAGCAGCUUGCAAGCGUGAUAAUGCAGGAAACGUAUAUCAAUAUGAUGUUACAUUAGUUGAUUAUUGUGGGCAGUGUAAUGGUUUCACCAUGCUUCUCUCAAAAGAGGUUUUCUCAGCUUUGACCAACACAAACGAUGGCAAUAUACAAGUUGAAUAUAUGCAAUUUAAUAAUUAAUUAUGAUGGUGGUUUUAGCACUCAUUUAUCAUAAUUAUCUGCAGGAACUUUAAAAUGGCAAAGAAAUUAAUGGCAUGCAGAAGAAAUCAAAACUAUGUUAUUAAUUUAUCGUUUCUAUUUAUCUACUUAUAUGUUUGUAAGAUGUUAUUUCUGAAUCUGAUUCGAUGUU